rnacentral:lncRNA from 1 species
AUCAAUGAGACUCAAUGUGAUCCAUCCUCAACAUGCGAUAUAUCCAAUCCUACACUAAGCAUGAGCCACUGCCUCUCCAUGCUUCCACAUCGUGCCAACCAUAAGGAGAUUCAUCUCCAUGAUCUCCGGUGGGGGCUGCAUGAUAUGUCGCCAAUUCAUACCUUAACUACCGUAUAAAGUUUUUCCUUAGAUCGACGUUUCUUCUUUCUAAUAAUCGAUUUGUGUCACCCUGAUCCGUUAAUUUCUCCGUGGCUAUAAAAUACACCAAACUCAGCGUUGUCCUCUCCAGGACCUUUUCCUCCUAACAACAAUGCCACAUGACCCUCAUUGAUAAGGCUACAUCUGCUAUACUCAAUCCUACCUACUUUUUUAUCGUAAUGGAUCAUUGUUGUCGUCCUGUCAGCCACGACCACGACGUAUCCUCAAUAAUUA